rnacentral:rRNA from 1 species
AUUGAACGCUGGCGGCAUGCCUUACACAUGCAAGUCGAACGGCAGCACGGGUGCUUGCACCUGGUGGCGAGUGGCGAACGGGUGAGUAAUACAUCGGAACGUGUCCUGUAGUGGGGGAUAGCCCGGCGAAAGCCGGAUUAAUACCGCAUACGAUCUACGGAUGAAAGCGGGGGACCUUCGGGCCUCGCGCUAUAGGGUUGGCCGAUGGCUGAUUAGCUGGUUGGUGGGGUAAAGGCCUACCAAGGCGACGAUCAGUAGCUGGUCUGAGAGGACGACCAGCCACACUGGGACUGAGACACGGCCCAGACUCCUACGGGAGGCAGCAGUGGGGAAUUUUGGACAAUGGGCGAAAGCCUGAUCCAGCAAUGCCGCGUGUGUGAAGAAGGCCUUCGGGUUGUAAAGCACUUUUGUCCGGAAAGAAAUCCUUGGCCCUAAUACGGUCGGGGGAUGACGGUACCGGAAGAAUAAGCACCGGCUAACUACGUG